rnacentral:rRNA from 1 species
UACGUAGGGGGCAAGCGUUGUCCGGAUUUACUGGGCGUAAAGCGCGCGUAGGCGGAACGAUCAGUCCGGUCUGAAAGCCCCCGGCUCAACCGGGGAGGGUGGCUGGAAACUGUCGUUCUUGAGGGCGAGAGAGGAGGGUGGAAUUCCUGGUGUAGCGGUGAAAUGCGUAGAGAUCAGGAGGAACACCAGUGGCGAAGGCGGCGAUCUGGGAAGAUACUGACGCUGAGGUGCGAAAGCGUGGGGAGCAAACAGG